rnacentral:lncRNA from 1 species
UGCUUUCUGAGCAAAAUGGCAUUGCCAUGGUGCUAUAAUGAUAGCAUGCUCCUGUAGCAAGCUGGGCUGCUGACCACUGGUUGAGUGCGCUGAGAGCAGUGCAGAGAAAUGUGGUCUUUUGAAGGGCACAAAGCGCCUUGAUUGCACAGCUCUUUUGCUUUUGGCAGUGGUUGGGAUUGCCUUGCAAUUUCUAUAGAAAAAAAAAUUUGCUUUUCAGAGUUUUCAUUCUUUUCAGCAUAGGGUUAGUCUGGUCAAACACCUUGCUGUGAGGUUGAUGCAUGGGUUCAGUGAUCAGAACAGGCCAGCGAUCACUCACCUGAGCUAACAUCCACUUUGUAAGGUCUGAUAAAGGUUUCUAUACAGCUGAGUGAGGGACAUCACCAAAAAUUUGGUGAAAUGAAGAAACAGUUAAUCAGCCAGGUUUGGUCUAAGGCAAGCAGAAGACAGUGCUGCACUGAUUACUGUUCUGAAGUUGAUCUAAAUGGCUCAACCUCAAAGCUAUAAACAGCUUUUGGAAGGAGGUCAAGAUGGGAACUAGCAGACAGUGGUGUAUUUAGGCAUCUUACAGGUAACUUGUGAACCUUCUAUUUAAGUGAACAAGUUUACCGAUACGCAACAAGACAAGAAAGAAGAUAAUAUCUACUGAUGUCUUAUUUGAUUAUUUAUUUACUUUCCAUUAGAGAUGAAGAAGCUAUUGACAUUGAACCAGCAACAAGACACUGCUUUGUGUUGCCAAGGGGGAAGUUCAGUGGUUUGCAUGCUGUAUGAUUGAAUUGAAGAUCACUCCUUACAUAGGUUAGUUGGACCUGGCAUGAGAAUAUCAUAUGGUAACAACAACUCUAAAACAACAUUUUUCUCCAUAUUUAUUCAGUGCAGAUAACGAUUCUUUCCAGGCCCACACCUGAAAGCACAGUCUAGUCUGCUUUGCUCUGACUUGUAGAUUUUAAUUCUGAGUGUUAGUUUCACUUUGGAUGUCUCAUUAGCAGGGUGAUAUUUUCCUAUUAGAUGAAAAUGUUCAACACAGAUUUCCUUGUCGCCACGUUACUGUCAUCUUGUCUUUUGUCAUCACGGCUGAUGGCUCAACGUGCUCUGAUCCACUAUCCUUUUUUUUGGUGAUGCAAUUAUUAUUGUGUGCUCACUCUCUCUCUCUUCUUCGGCUGUGAUAAAAAGAAUAAAUAAAAAUGAAGUAUACA